ensembl:lncRNA
GUCUCUACAUCCUCUAAAAUAACUCAACCUACGAGGUCUCUACAUCCUCUAAAAUAACUCAACCUACGAGGUCUCUACAACUCAACCUACGAGGUCUCUACAUCCACUAUAACAACUCAACCUACAAGGUCUCUACAUCCACUAUAACAACUCAACCUACGAGGACCCUACAUCCUUUAUAACAACUCCUACCCUACAGCGUCUCUACAUUCUCUAUAUGGAUUCUUAAGCUACACCAGGGCUAAUUUAAAUUAAGUCCUGGAGGCCUGAAACACUUCUGGCUUUGACCCUCUUUUUGACAUGUUCUACUGAAAGGGGACUACUAGGGUAAUCUGCUACUAUUAAACAUGUUCUACUGAUCAGUGUUCUAUUGAAGAGUGUCCUAGUGUUCUGUUAAAGAAUAUUCCAAUGUUCUGAUUGUUCCGUUUAAAGAUGUCAUCAUUAGCUCUGUUGUAACUUGCCGCUAAAAUGUGUUCUGAUAUUGUCCGCAUUCUGUUUUGGCCCAGAUUUUAAAACAGAGCGUCAUUUAAAUAAUUUUUACAUUCUGGAAUGUUUAACUGAACGAAAAACUGUAAAAAAAACAGGGAGAAAACAUUCCAUCAAAGUCCCUUUUAGAAACCAAUAGGGAAACAAGUGUUUCAGUACGGUUAUGAGUUCAGAGGGACUAUCCACAAUGAGUUAUUGCUUCUGACAGCAGUUUUGCAGAAUGCACAUUGAUGGUAAACAAGACAUAUUAAUGCUCAAGCAGAUGUUGCCUUUAAAAGCUGUGAUGCCUAUAACCUAUGACUAGGGUGAAUCCCAGCCUUAAAUGGAUGUUAAUAUUUUAUCACAAAAAAAUGUUGGACAAGAUCAGGAUGCAUGCUAGCUCCAGGUAUAAACAUGGCCCGUAGUGUUAUGCAGCCUCCAGUUAAAGCUCAUUUCCUUACUGUACAUCUAUCAACAACAUUAUCACAGACCUUUUACUGUAUGUUCAUCUAUUGAAUACAUUAUCACUGACCUUUUGAUUGUGCUCAAUUGUUUGUACCAGUCUGUAUUUUGUACAGCUUGAUGCCGUUGUUCUCACGUCCAAUAACUUUUCAAUAUUUAUAACCUUAGAACCAGGAUUACUGAAUAAUGAUAUGAAUAAAUGUUUGACAGGAAAUGAGAAGGC